CACUUUCAACAACGGAUCUCUUGGCUCUCGCAUCGAUGAAGAACGUAGCGAAGUGCGAUAAGUAAUGUGAAAAAGUUAGGGGAUCGAAGACGAUCAGAUACCGUCGUAGUCUUAACCAUAAACUAUGCCGACUAGGGAUCGGAUGAUGUUAAUUUUUUAAUGACU
rfam:Rhizophagus irregularis DAOM 197198w jcf7180003180159, whole genome shotgun sequence.